CUUCCCUGGUGGCGCAGUGGUUGAGAGUCCGCCUGCCGAUGCAGGGGACACGGGUUCGUGCCCCGGUCCGGAAAGAUCCCACAUGCCGCGGAACGGCUGGGCCCGUGAGCCAUGGCCGCUGAGCCUGCGCGUCCGGAGCCUGUGCUCCGCAGCGGGAGAGGCCACAACAGUGAGAGGCCCGCGUACCGCAGAAAAAAAAAAAAAAAAAAAAAAGA